GACGAACGCUGGCGGCGUGCUUAACACAUGCAAGUCGAACGGAAAGGCCCUGCUUUUGUGGGGUGCUCGAGUGGCGAACGGGUGAGUAACACGUGAGUAACCUGCCCUUUACUUUGGGAUAACUUCAGGAAACUGGGGCUAAUACCGGAUAGGAGCUCCUUCUGCAUGGUGGGGGUUGGAAAGUUUCGGCGGUUGGGGAUGGACUCGCGGCUUAUCAGCUUGUUGGUGGGGUAGUGGCUUACCAAGGCUUUGACGGGUAGCCGGCCUGAGAGGGUGACCGGCCACAUUGGGACUGAGAUACGGCCCAGACUCCUACGGGAGGCAGCAGUGGGGAAUAUUGCACAAUGGGCGGAAGCCUGAUGCAGCAACGCCGCGUGCGGGAUGACGGCCUUCGGGUUGUAAACCGCUUUCGCCUGUGACGAAGCGUGAGUGACGGUAAUGGGUAAAGAAGCACCGGCUAACUACGUG
rnacentral:rRNA from 1 species